rnacentral:rRNA from 1 species
UGGGGAAUAUUGGGCAAUGGGCGAAAGCCUGAUCCAGCCAUGCCGCGUGUGUGAAGAAGGCCUUCGGGUUGUAAAGCACUUUUGUUGGGAAAGAAAUCCUGUCGGCCAAUACCCGGCGGGGAUGACGGUACCCAAAGAAUAAGCACCGGCUAACUUCGUGCCAGCAGCCGCGGUAAUACGAAGGGUGCAAGCGUUACUCGGAAUUACUGGGCGUAAAGCGUGCGUAGGCGGUUCGUUAAGUCUGUCGUGAAAGCCCUGGGCUCAACCUGGGAAUUGCGAUGGAUACUGGCGAGCUAGAGUACGAUAGAGGAUGGUGGAAUUCCCGGUGUAGCGGUGAAAUGCGUAGAGAUCGGGAGGAACACCCGUGGCGAAGGCGGCCAUCUGGACCAGUACUGACGCUGAGGCACGAAAGCGUGGGGAGCAAACA